rnacentral:misc_RNA from 1 species
AACGGUCUAUACCUGCGGUACCUGCGGAAGGAUCAUUACAUGGCGGAGGAGGUGGGCACCUAGUAAAACAAAACCCUAGGUGUGUUGCCUACCACGCUUUCUACCCUUGUCUAUUUGCACCUUUUGUCGUUCCCUCGGUGGGUCUUGAACCUGCCGGCGGCAACUUUCAAAAACCUUUUGUAGUUAGUAUCUAAUUCUUCUGAUCAAAUAUUCAAUCGUUACAACUUUUAGCAAUGGAUC